CUACGGGGUGCUGCAGUGAGGAAUAUUGCACAAUGGAGGAAACUCUGAUGCAGCAACGCCGCGUGGAGGAUGACGCAUUUCGGUGUGUAAACUCCUUUUAUAUGUCAAGAAAAUGACGGUAGCAUAUGAAUAAGCUCCGGCUAACUCCGUGCCAGCAGCCGCGGUAAUACGGAGGGUGCAAGCGUUACUCGGAAUCACUGGGCGUAAAGGACGCGUAGGCGGGAUAGAAAGUCAGGUGUGAAAUCCUAUGGCUCAACCAUAGAACUGCACUUGAAACUUCUAACCUAGAGUAUGGGAGGGGAAGAUGGAAUUAGUGGUGUAGGGGUAAAAUCCGUAGAUAUCACUAGGAAUACCAAUGGCGAAGGCGAUCUCCUGGAACAUUACUGACGCUAAGGCGUGAAAGCGUGGGGAGCAAACAGGAUUAGAUACCCGCGUAGUC
rnacentral:rRNA from 1 species